GGGUUGUGAGGUUAAGCGACUAAGCGUACACGGUGGAUGCCUAGGCAGUCAGAGGCGAUGAAGGGCGUGCUAAUCUGCGAUAAGCGUCGGUAAGCUGAUAUGAAGCGUUAUACCCGACGAUACCCGAAUGGGGAAACCCAGUGUGUUUCGACACACUAUCAUUAUGUGAAUACAUAGCAUAAUGAGGCGAACCGGGGGAACUGAAACAUCUCAGUACCCCGAGGAAAAGAAAUCAACCGAGAUUCCCCCAGUAGCGGCGAGCGAACGGGGAGGAGCCCAGAACCUGAAUCAGUUUGUGUGUUAGUGGAAGCGUCUGGAAAGUCGCACAGUAAAGGGUGAUAGUCCCGUACACAAAAAUGCACAAGUUGUGAGUUCGAUGAGUAGGGCGGGACACGUGACAUCCUGUCUGAAUAUGGGGGGACCAUCCUCCAAGGCUAAAUACUCCUGACUGACCGAUAGUGAACCAGUACCGUGAGGGAAAGGCGAAAAGAACCCCGGCGAGGGGAGUGAAAUAGAACCUGAAACCGUGUACGUACAAGCAGUGGGAGCCUACUUGUUAGGUGACUGCGUACCUUUUGUAUAAUGGGUCAGCGACUUAUAUUCUGUAGCAAGGUUAACCGUAUAGGGGAGCCGCAGGGAAACCGAGUCUUAACUGGGCGUUAAGUUGCAGGGUAUAGACCCGAAACCCGGUGAUCUAGCCAUGGGCAGGUUGAAGGUUGGGUAACACUAACUGGAGGACCGAACCGACUAAUGUUGAAAAAUUAGCGGAUGACUUGUGGCUGGGGGUGAAAGGCCAAUCAAACCGGGAGAUAGCUGGUUCUCCCCGAAAGCUAUUUAGGUAGCGCCUCGUGAAUUCAUCUUCGGGGGUAGAGCACUGUUUCGGCUAGGGGGUCAUCCCGACUUACCAACCCGAUGCAAACUACGAAUACCGAAGAAUGUUAUCACGGGAGACACACGGCGGGUGCUAACGUUCGUCGUGAAGAGGGAAACAACCCAGACCGCCAGCUAAGGUCCCAAAGUCAUGGUUAAGUGGGAAACGAUGUGGGAAGGCAUAGACAGCCAGGAUGUUGGCUUAGAAGCAGCCAUCAUUUAAAGAAAGCGUAAUAGCUCACUGGUCGAGUCGGCCUGCGCGGAAGAUGUAACGGGGCUAAACCAUGCACCGAAGCUGCGGCAGCGACACUUAGGUGUUGUUGGGUAGGGGAGCGUUCUGUAAGCCUGCGAAGGUGGCCUGUGAGGGCUGCUGGAGGUAUCAGAAGUGCGAAUGCUGACAUAAGUAACGAUAAUGCGGGUGAAAAACCCGCACGCCGGAAGACCAAGGGUUCCUGUCCAACGUUAAUCGGGGCAGGGUGAGUCGACCCCUAAGGCGAGGCUGAAAAGCGUAGUCGAUGGGAAACAGGUUAAUAUUCCUGUACUCGGUGUUACUGCGAAGGGGGGACGGAGAAAGCUAGGUUAUCCGGGCGACGGUUGUCCCGGUUUAAGCGUGAAGGUGGGUGACUUUGGUAAAUCCGGGUCAUCGUUAACACUGAGGCGUGAUGACGAGUCACUACGGUGAUGAAGUAACCGAUGCUACGCUUCCAGGAAAAGCCUCUAAGCUCCAGGUAACAUCAAAUCGUACCCCAAACCGACACAGGUGGUCAGGUAGAGAAUACUCAGGCGCUUGAGAGAACUCGGGUGAAGGAACUAGGCAAAAUGGUGCCGUAACUUCGGGAGAAGGCACGCUGAUGGUAGGUGAAGUGACUUGCUCAUGGAGCUGAAAUCAGUCGAAGAUACCAGCUGGCUGCAACUGUUUAAUAAAAACACAGCACUGUGCAAACACGAAAGUGGACGUAUACGGUGUGACGCCUGCCCGGUGCCGGAAGGUUAAUUGAUGGGGUCAGCCGCAAGGCGAAGCUCUUGAUCGAAGCCCCGGUAAACGGCGGCCGUAACUAUAACGGUCCUAAGGUAGCGAAAUUCCUUGUCGGGUAAGUUCCGACCUGCACGAAUGGCGUAAUGAUGGCCAGGCUGUCUCCACCCGAGACUCAGUGAAAUUGAACUCGCUGUGAAGAUGCAGUGUACCCGCGGCAAGACGGAAAGACCCCGUGAACCUUUACUAUAGCUUGACACUGAACCUUGAGCCUUGAUGUGUAGGAUAGGUGGGAGGCUUUGAAGCGUGGACGCCAGUCUGCGUGGAGCCAACCUUGAAAUACCACCCUUUAAUGUUUGAUGUUCUAACGUGGACCCGUAAUCCGGGUUGCGGACAGUGUCUGGUGGGUAGUUUGACUGGGGCGGUCUCCUCCCAAAGCGUAACGGAGGAGCACGAAGGUUAGCUAAUCCUGGUCGGACAUCAGGAGGUUAGUGCAAAGGCAUAAGCUAGCUUGACUGCGAGAGUGACAGCUCGAGCAGGUGCGAAAGCAGGUCUUAGUGAUCCGGUGGUUCUGAAUGGAAGGGCCAUCGCUCAACGGAUAAAAGGUACUCCGGGGAUAACAGGCUGAUACCGCCCAAGAGUUCAUAUCGACGGCGGUGUUUGGCACCUCGAUGUCGGCUCAUCACAUCCUGGGGCUGAAGUAGGUCCCAAGGGUAUGGCUGUUCGCCAUUUAAAGUGGUACGCGAGCUGGGUUUAGAACGUCGUGAGACAGUUCGGUCCCUAUCUGCCGUGGGCGUUGGAAGAUUGAGAGGGGUUGCUCCUAGUACGAGAGGACCGGAGUGAACGCACCACUGGUGUACGGGUUGUGAUGCCAAUUGCAUUGCCCGGUAGCUAAGUGCGGAAGAGAUAACCGCUGAAAGCAUCUAAGCGGGAAACUUGCCUCGAGAUGAGUCUUCCCUGGACACUUGAUGUCCCUGAAGGGCCGUUGAAGACGACGACGUAGAUAGGCUGGGUGUGUAAGCGUAGCGAUACGUUGAGCUAACCAGUACUAAUGACCCGAGAGGCUUAACCUUACAACACCGAAGGUGUUU
rnacentral:rRNA from 1 species